UGUCUGCCCUGGCAAGGGAGACACUAUGAUCACGGACAUAGUUUUCCCAGGGUAAGGCUCAUCUAUUGCACUCCAGGUGUCCUGACCCCUGUGAUUUCCCCAAUAAUUUAAUAUAUAUGAAUUAUUAUUAUUAUUAUUAUUAUUAUUAUUAUUAUUAU